rnacentral:lncRNA from 1 species
CAAAGUUGACUGGGAGACGACGGCCUAGACCUCUCACGAACACAUCGCAGCAUCCUCCAUGCGCCUCAUCCUGCAGUACCUGUUCUUGACCUGUGGGGGGUGUGAGACAGCAAGAGUGAGCUCACAUACGUUCACCGCUCAACAAGUUGUGGGGAAUAAUGUGCAUGAACUCGCCAAAGGUGGGAGCUCACGUGAAGUGUAAGGCUUACCAAAGAGGAUGGUUGAAGCUGAGCAUUGCUUUUAAAGUUGGUCAAAAUUUCAUUAGCAAUUACUAAGUAUAAGUAAAUACCAACCCAAUUAAAUAGUAGAACAAAAGUAACAACAUCACCUGCGAUGCAAUGCAUAUGACAAAUUGAAUUUAGUUCCAUAAUUUAAUCAUGUGAGGGUCCGAGCCGCUCAUGACCGUGAGCACGGCUAGUAUACUAGUUUUACACUCUGCAGAGGUUGCGCAUCUUUACCCACAAGCCGUGUUACCCAUCUGCCAAGGGGUCAUGAGUCCCAUACACCUCUACCGAGGAGGCGAGGCAGGGUAACACUACGAGGCCUUUACAAAGUUCCACUAGCUUCAGAAAUCCCGCUACAGUUUAUAGGAAGCUCCAAUGCAGGAAUCCCUUGCAGGACCGCCAUCGCAGCAAAAUCCUCCCGAGGGCCUCCCUACACUGACCACUCCCCUACUGCCCUUGCCCCUUUCGGGUAAGGAAGACCUCCACUAGCUUUCCUAGUUAAUCAGCCAAGGGCGUCCCAUUAAACCCUUGUGGUAGCACUGUUUUCCCGGGUGGUCGCUCCAUGUUCCAAUUAACAUAAUGAUCUUAUCAUGAACAUAAAUAACAUAACAGAAUAAUUGGAACAUGGAUGUAAUGAAAUAUUAACCCGAAAACCAUAUAAAGCAAUAGCAUAACUACCCAAUUGAUUCAGGGGUAAACAAGGUAAACAGGAUAAACAAACUAGGGUGUCCUAUUGGGUCCCAUCAAAAUUAACCUAUGCAGAUCAUUAUGAUUAAUUAGAACAUGAGUGGGUAAAAAGAAGUGAUCAAGGGCACAACUUGCCUGGGACUUGAGAUUCCAGGUACCAGGAUGAUCCUUCGGAUCCUCGUGACCUUACGCUAGUCGUAGCAAUACAAACAAACAUGGUAUAAAUAGAAUUAACAUCACACCAAACAUAAGUACAAACUGAAUAAUAAUGAUCUACGUGUUUCUACGAGACUAACGCAACUUGAACGGAUCAAAUCGGAGUUAAAACGAAGAAGAUACGAAUUUCCUAAGGUUUCAUGUGCUUGGCAUCCGAUUAAUUGAGAAAUAUUUUUUUAAUGAGACUUCCAUGUCAAAACAGAGACACUAGAUGAUAAAAAAAAUAUUAUUAUAAAAUUAUAGGAACUGGAAUAAAUUAAUUUGGAGCUAGAAUGAAUUUUCUAUGAGUUAAAUAAGUUUCUGGAAUUAUUUUAACACUAAAAAUCAUUUUCUAAUUGAAUUUCUGCAUUUUUCUAUGAUUCUGGACUGCGCGCAUGAAUAACUGGAAGCACAGGGGCCCUGGCGUAUAACUCUCUAAGACACAAAGCGCAAUAAGUAGGACAGCGGGUUCAAUUCUAUGAAAGCAGAGGGCUCUUUUAUAAAAUUGCAGAGUCGAAGAGGUAUCGUGUGUUUUGAACCGUCCGAUCGGCAAUGCACGGCUCAGAUCAUAACGUCAUUUCUGUGAACCGGUAAGGGACGAUGGCCACCGGAUUGAUAUCUAACGGUUCAGAUUCUAUAAGAUCAGAACUGUCCUCAUCCGAUCGAUCUACACUCUACGGCUCGGAUCAAAACUCGUGAAUCGUUGUGCGUUUGCCUAAUCCCGCGCGUUCAACAAGAAAUCAACGGCUUCUAUUUCUUGCCCAUCUCUCGUCGGACUGAGGCGGCGCCGCCCCGUGCCACGGCGGCAGAACCCACCGGAGUGAACGCCAAUCGCCACAAGUAAUCAUAUACCACCCCGAAUCCGUUCUUCGCGCAGAGGAGGCCUAGGCAAAAGCGAUGAUUGAAGACUCACCAUCCAUUGGAGCCACGAUGGCUACUGCUCACGGUACGCGCGAUAGCAUGGCGGAGUUCCCACUCCGGCGAGGUAUUCCGUCGUCCAGAACGCGAUUCCGCCCAGGAGAAGCCGCGACGAGCAUCAGAGAGAACCAGCGAUUGCCCCCGGUCGAUUCCGAUCGCCCAACGCCAGGUAUGGUGGUUUGCCCCCUGCGGCGGCGCCAUCCUUAGCUCUCUAUUCGCCCCUCUCGAUCGGUCAUGCGAGUGGUCCGCCAUGCCCACACGAUCCCCGGACGCCAGUGACUCUCCGCGAACACCCAUCGAAGCCCAAGCGGCAAUGGUCGUGGCGAAUCGCACGGCGGCGGCGGCAAGGUUGUGGCUGCUCUCUCUCCUCCCCGGUCAACUCUGCUCACGGGUUUCUAGCAUACAGCUUCCCAACGCCGAUUCCUGAUCAGGUUAUGGGGUGAGAAAAGGGCCACGGCCGGGUGAUUUAUUCCUAGGAGACUCGAUCAGCAACCACCUGCGCGCAAAAGGCGGCAUCAGCAGCGGUGAAGAUCACGACGGCAGCGGCGGUCGUUACGGGGAAGAUGACUGAGCUGACGACUGGGUCCCACGUUGCGGUGGCUUACGAGCGCGCGACGGCUGACGUCCCGGACCCGCCUGGCGGUGAAUCUGGAGAGCGGAGGCGCACAGAUCGGGUGUUCUGUUGCGCGGAGUUUGUUGCUAAGUGGAGGUGAUGAACCUGGACAGUGGGCCCCACAGGGUAGUGGAACAAGGGCGCGCGCGCAGGACGUUCCGUUAGGCUGCGGUGUGGGCCCACGUGGCCGGUGCCACCGUGCGUGCGCGACGCGUUGAGUCUGGCAGCUAGGGUUUGUCGCACCGCAGUGGAGGCACAGAUGGGCUGGUAGCUGGGCCGCAUGGCCGAGUGAGUGAGGUGGGCUGGCAUGUGGAGAAAGUGGGCCUGCCAGGGAAAAUGGCCCAAGCGCAGGCUUCCUUUAUUCUUUUCCAUUUAGUUUUCCUAUUUCAGAUUUCAAAUAUCCAAUUCAAAUUUGAAUCCCUGUUUGAAUUUUCUAGUUUCAACUCUCAAGGAUAACUCUAAUGUGAAUAUAUCCCCACAGUUUACAUUAUUAUUAUUAUAUAUUUUUUCCUAUUAUUUAUUUAUACAAGAAUAAAUGACUUCAUUAAAAUUUCUUUUCUCAUUUCCUAUUUUAUGUUUUUAUGUAUAAUUGAAGUCAAAUUUAUGCGUUCAAUAAAGUACCUCACAACAAAGUCAUCCUCAUGUGAUGCACUUCUCUUUAUUUAUUUAUUGGUUACUUAAUUAAUUUAGUAACAUUAAAUGAUUAUAAAAAGAAAGGAACCAAAUGAAUUUCUAAGGGUUUCACAAUUCUCUAAACAUUAUCAUAAACUUAUUUGUUUGUUUAUUUUAUAUUAUAUUAUAUUUUUCUACCAAAUUUGGGCUUUACACUUUUCUCCAGGCUGAUCCCAUUGCAAUGGAGUUCUACAACUCCUCCCAUAAAGUGCCUGAAAUGGUGACAUCUUCAAGCUGGCCUGGUAACUGUUGUUAUAGGAGAACUCUGCAUAAGGCAACCUCUUGUCCCAUCCGGACUGAUCUCGCAACGCACAGGCUCUCAACAUGUCUUCAAGGAUUUGAUUAGUUCUUUCGGUCUGACCAUCUGUCUGUGGAUGAUAGGCUGAACUGAAAUUCAGAUGUGUACCCAAGGCUUCAUGCAGUUGCUGCCAGAAAUGAGAGGUGAAUUGCGUUCCUCUGUCUGACACUAUCUUCUUUGGCACACCAUGAAGACAAACGAUCCGAGACAUGUACAAUUCUACCAAUACUGCACUGCUGUAGUUGGUCUUGACAGGUAUGAAAUGGGCUGACUUGGUCAAGCGGUCCACCACUACCCAAAUGGAAUCGUAGCCGGCUCGAGUGCGAGGCAAUCCGACUAUAAAGUCCAUACCGAUUUCAUCCCACUUCCACUGAGGAAUUUGCAACGGUUGCAACAAACCAGCUGGUCUCUGGUGCUCUGCCUUGAUCCGCCGACAACUAUCACACAUAGCCACAUGCUCUGCGAUUUCCCUCUUCAUUCCGUACCACUAGAAUUUCUUCUUCAGAUCCUGAUACAUCUUCUCACUACCAGGGUGGAUCGAAUAAGCUAUCUCAUGAGCUUCCUUGAGAAUCAAUUCCCGAAUAGAUUGGACAUUGGGAACACACAAGCGGUCUUUGAACCAUAUCACACCUUCUGCGUCUUCCCGAAAAUCUUUGCCUCUGUCGUCUAGAAUCAGUUGCCGGAUUUCACUGAUCUUCUCAUCAUUCAUCUGUGCUUCUUUGAUUUCCCGCUCCAGGGUAGGUUCCAACUCAAUUGUGACUCCUCGCGUAUUAUUCAGAAAUUUGAGACUAAACCUGUCAAACUCUUUGGCCAACUCAUAAGGCAUCGGACGAGCGACCAUCAGACUGACCUGACUCUUCCUGCUCAAAGCAUCUGCCACUAUGUUCGCUUUACCCGGAUGGUAAUGAAUCUCCAAUUCGUAGUCUUUGAUCAACUCUAACCAUCUUCGUUGCCUCAUAUUCAGCUCUGACUGAGUGAAUAUGUACUUUUGACUCUUGUGGUCUGUGUAAACAUCACAUUUCUGCCCAUACAGAUAAUGUCUCCAUGUCUUUAGUGCAUGAACCACUGCUGCCAACUCUAGGUCAUGGAUUGGGUAAUUCUUCUCAUGAACUUUCAGCUAUCGGGACGAGUAAGCCACAACUCUUCCCUCCUGCAUCAACACGCAUCCCAAACCGGUGUAACAAGCAUCGCAAUACACCGAGAAGGGCCUGUGCACAUCAGGCAAGACUAAGACAGGCGCUGUAGUCAACUUCUCUUUCAGCGCUUCAAAGGCUUCUUGGCAUUUCUGGGUCCGCUUGAACUCAACUUUGUUGCCUAGCAAAGCUGUCAUUGGUUUUGCAAUCUUCGAAAAUCCUUCAAUGAAUCACCAAUAAUAUCCAGCCAUUCCAAUGAAGCUCUUGAUUCCUCGAGCAUCUUUUGGCGCUUUCCAGUUCAGAAUGUCUGCCACUUUCUUCGGAUCCACAGCCAAUCCUUCUUUGUUGAUUAUGUGACCCAAGAACAUGACUUCACUGAUCCAGAACUCGCACUUGCUCAAUUUUGCAUACAGCUGGUGCUCCCACAAUCUUUGCAAUACCAUCCUCAAAUGAUAUGCAUGCUCUUCUUCGCUUUGAGAAUAUAUCAGAAUGUCAUCAAUAAAUACCACCACAAACUUAUCAAGAUAAUCCAUGAAUACACUGUUCAUCAGGUUUAUGAAGAAGGCUGGUGCAUUUGUUAGAUCGAAAGACAUCACAGUGAACUCAUAGAACCCGUACUUGGUAAUGAAUGUUGUCUUCGGAAUGUCUGAAGGUCAAAUCCUGAGCUGAUGAUAACCUGACCUCAGCUCUAUCUUAAAGAACACGCUAGCUCCUCUCAGCUGGUCGAACAGAUCUUCUAUUCUGGGCAAGGGGUACUUGUUCUUGAUGGUAACCUCAUUCAGAGCUCGAUAAUCGAUACACAUCCUUUUGGUGUCAUCUUUCUUUUCCACGAAUAAGACAGGGGUGGCCCAAGGCGAGGUGCUUGGCCGGAUGUAACCUUUCUCUGACAACUCAUCGAUCUGCUUCUUAAGUUCAACCAACUCACAUCCAGAUAUUCUGUAAGCUCUCUUAAAGAUCGGGGCGAUUCCAGGAAGAAGCUCUAUGGCGAACUCAACUUUCCGCUCUGGUGGCUGUCACACCCGGAUUUCGGGGCACCAAGACCCGGGCGCGAACAAUCACCAGGUGUGCUAGGACCAAGUCUCACACAUAUGAUGAAUCAUGGCACAGGAUCGAAUGUCACAUCUUUACUAUAUAAUAGGAGAUCUAUACAAAAUAAAUAAUUACAUUAUAAGGAGACAACGGUCCAGCAACCCAAAGUUGACUGGGAGACGACGACCUAGACCUCUCACGAACACAUCACAGCAUCCUCCAAGCGCCUCAUCCUGGGGUACCUGUUCUUGACCUGUGGGGGGUGUGAGACAGCAAGAGUGAGCUCACAUACGUUCAUCGCUCAACAAGUUGUGGGGAAUAAUGUGCAUGAACUCGCCAAAGGUGGGAGCUCACGUGAAGUGUAAGGCUUACCAAAGAGGAUGGUUAGAGCUGAGCAUUGCUUUUAAAGUUGGUCAAAAUUUUAUUAGCAAUUACUAAGUAUAAGUAAGUACCAACCCAAUUAAAUAGUAGAACAGAAGUAACAACAUCACCUGCGAUGCAAUGCAUAUGACAAAUUGAAUUUAGUUCCAUAAGUUAAUCAUGUGAGGGUCCGAGCUGCUCAUGACCGUGAGCACGGCUAGUAUACCAGUUUUACACUCUGCAGAGGUUGCGCAUCUUUACCCACAAGUCAUGUUACCCAUCUGCCAAGGGAUCACGACUUCCCAUACACCUCUACCGAGGAGGCGAGGCAGGGUAACACUACGAGGCCUUUACAAAGUUCCACUAGCUUCAGAAAACCCGCUACAGUUUAUAGGAAGCUCCAAUGCAGGGUUCUUGCCUGACCGCCAUCGCAGCAAAAUCAACCAAGGACCUCCCUACACUGACCACUCCCCUACUGCCCUUGCCCCUUUCGGGUAAGGUAGUCCUCCACUAGCUUUCCUAAUUAAUCAGUCGGCGUCCAUAAACCCUUGUGGUAGCACUGUUUUCCCGGGUGGUCGCUCCAUGUUCCAAUUAACAUAAUGAUCUUAUCAUGAACAGUGAUAAUAAACAGAUAAUAAAAGUGUGAUCAUGAAUAAUGUAUCUUCAUACCCAAAACCACAUAAAGCACUAGCAAGUACUACCCAAAAAGUUCCAUGGUAAGCAAGGUAUAAAGAUAGACAAACUAGGGUAACCUAUUAGGUCCCAUCAAAAUUAACCUAUGCAGAUCAUUAUGAUUAAUCAGAACAUGACUGGGUAAAAAGAAGUGAUCAAGGGCACAACUUGCCUGGCACUUGAGAUUCCAGUUACCAACUUGCUCUUCAGAUGACACGUAACCUCGCGCUAGUCGUAGCAAUACAAACAAGCAUGAUAUAGGCAAAAUUAACGUCACACCAAACAUAAAAACAAACUAUAUAAGAAUAAUCUACGCUACGUAAUGAGAUCGUAGAAACAAGAAUCACUAAAUUCGGAGCUACGAUUAUUACGUUAUGAAUUUCCGAAAUUAUUUAGUGCUUAGAAUAGAUUAAUUCCAAUGAACAAUUUUAAUUCCAGUUUCAUGGCUAAACAAAGCUACUAAUUGAUAGACAAUAUUAAUACAAUAUUAUUGCAACUGGAAUGGGUUAAAAAGGAGUAAAAAUGGAAUUUCUAUGAAUUAAAUAAGUUCUGGAUAUAUUUUUAUACAUAAAAACCAUUUCCUAAAUUAUUUUCCUGAAUUUUCUAAGCUUCUGAACUGGGUGCAUGAAUAAACAAAAGACCAGGGGAUAGCUUGAAAGAUUCCCUAGACACAGAUUAACCUACCGAUAGACGGCAGGUUGAUUUGUGAAAAGAGAAGGGGCUCUUCUGCAAAUGUUCCCGCACGAAAGGGUAUCCCGAAACAGGAGUCGUCCGAUCCAAUUUAAACGAUCCAGAUUAGAUCACGCCUAGCUCAAAUCAGUACGCGACCGGGGUCAUCGGAUCCCGAUCCAACGGCCCAUAAAAGAUAAUGAACUACACGAUCUUCCAGCCAUCCGAUCAAGGAUCAAUGGCCACUACCGACUUGGCCGAACCGGUACGCGAGAUUUAAUCCGUGCCGUCCCUCCCUUGAUCUACGACCCACAGCACUCCUGGCCGAGCCGUUCUCCAGACCCAAUCUCCAUCGUCCAACUACAAUCGAACGGUCAGCAUCCAUAUUCUUCCUCCAGCCACACCCACCGAUCGCGGCGCUUAGAUAGCGGUGGCAAUACGCCGGCGAGCACGCACAUCGACGCACUAACGCCCCAACACACGUUCUGCCAGGUUCUAUACGCUAAGGGGGAAAAAGUGAAUCUACCAGUUGAGUUCUUACCUUAGGGAUUGACAUUGGCGCGCCUAGCCACGAUGACAGGCGGAUCCAUGGUGUUGUCGUGACUCCGACGAGGAACAUCGGUCAAUUGACUGCCGCGCCAGAGAGCUUCGCCGCGCCCGGAGAACCUCCCUAACGGCCCCCC